rnacentral:tRNA from 1 species
GCGGCUAUAGCUCAGUUGGUAGAGCACCGGCUUGCCAAGUCGAAGGUCGCGGGUUCGAAUCCCGCUAGUCGCU